rnacentral:rRNA from 1 species
UUUCCGUAGGGCAUCAGCUCUCGGGGCAAUUGAUCCUUUCAACUGGCACAUUUGCUGAAACCUUAGUGGAGCCCUAGAAAGGGUUUGAUCUGGCGACUCUAAACACCGGUCACUGGGGAAGAAAAGUACUUCCCUUGUCCACUAGUCAUACUCUCUGAGUUUGGCGACGCCAUCAGCUCGCGGGAACAUCCAUACAUUAUCUGGACAAUCCGCUGUCGUUUGGUGUACUUCUACAUUGACGAUUCACAGGCUAAAUGAUGGUGGGUACAGGUUCAUAUUCCUGUAUUUUAGAUAUAGUCGGUCCCUGGAUUGCUCCAGGGUUUGACAUCGUUCCGUAGGUGAACCUGCGGAAGGAUCAUU